rnacentral:lncRNA from 1 species
CCAAGCCCCAAGCUCAGCUGGUGAGAAAAGCUUGUUGCGAGCCAGCAAAUGGAAGAGAAAAUCCUUUACCUGCAACACUAUCCUGCACCUGGGGUUUCCGCCCGGGACCGGGGAGGUUUCUGGGGGCCCGGACCGCGUGGUGCCACAGCUGCUCCCAGGCUGCUGCCCGGACCCGGACGGGCGACGGGCUGUGCAGGGGACACCUUGCACCCAUGGAUGCGAUGUGGGAGUGGAGGACCCCUCGUGCUGCCUCUCGCCCAGACAACCCGCGAUGCCCACAGGAGGGUGCCGGAGCAACACCGCGGAUGGCGAUGUUUUGAUGACACGUUUCUCCGCUCUAUAGUUGAUAGGGCUGAAAAGACUUGCUGGUUUAGUCCUUUACUCGAAGUACAAUAGGAAAAAGUAAUUAAUAGCCUGACAGUUGUGUUUCACAAUAAACAAGCUGCUGGCAUAUUUUUUUUCCUGCUG